UACGGGGGGAGCAAGCGUUGUUCGGAUUUACUGGGCGUAAAGGGCUCGUAGGCGGCCAACUAAGUCCGACGUGAAAUCCCCAGGCUUAACCUGGGAACUGCGUCGGAUACUGGAUGGCUUGAAUUCGGGAGAGGGAUGCAGAAUUCCAGGUGUAGCGGUGAAAUGCGUAGAUAUCUGGAGGAAUACCGGUGGCGAAGGCGGCAUCCUGGACCGACAUUGACGCUGAUGAGCGAAAGCUAGGGGAGCAAACGGG
rnacentral:rRNA from 1 species